UUGCUGUGAUGAUUAAUCUUAGGACACCUUUAGACUGGUAUCAUGAUAAGAAUCAUAUUGCAUCUGAGCAAG